rnacentral:rRNA from 1 species
GAUGAACGCUGGCGGCGUGCCUAAUACAUGCAAGUCGAGCGAACAGACGAGGAGCUUGCUCCUCUGACGUUAGCGGCGGACGGGUGAGUAACACGUGGAUAACCUACCUAUAAGACUGGGAUAACUUCGGGAAACCGGAGCUAAUACCGGAUAAUAUAUUGAACCGCAUGGUUCAAUAGUGAAAGACGGUUUUGCUGUCACUUAUAGAUGGAUCCGCGCCGCAUUAGCUAGUUGGUAAGGUAACGGCUUACCAAGGCAACGAUGCGUAGCCGACCUGAGAGUGUGAUGGGCCACAUGGGACCGGGCACCGGGCCCGGCCCCCAAGGGGGGGAGGAGGAAGGAAUGUUCCGGAAAGGGGGGAAAGCCUGAGGGAGCAGCGCGGGGGGAGGAAGAAGGUUUUUGGGAUCAAAAAACGUUUUUAUUGGGAAAAAACAAAUGUGAAAGUAACUAUGCCCUUCUGCGGGUUCCCUAAUAAGAAGCCCAGGGCAAGCCACGUC